rfam:Marine metagenome ctg_1101667455638, whole genome shotgun sequence.
CGCUGUUACAGGUAACUGUGGCGGUGAUAAAGCAGAAGUCAGCAGACGGCAUAGUAGCCAAAUGCCCAGCGUAAUGGCUGGGACACGGUGAAGGCC